CAAUAGCGUAUAUUUAAGUUGUUGCAGUUAAAAAGCUCGUAGUUGGAUUUCGGGUGGGACGCAGCGGUCUCGCAUUGCGUUUGUACUGCUGCAGCCCUCCUUCUUGCCGGGGGCGGCCUCUCGGACUUCACUGUCUGGGGGUCAGAAUCGGCGAUGUUACUUUGAGUAAAUUAGAGUGUUCAAAGCAAGCUUACGCUCUGAAUAUAAUAGCAUGGGAUAACGCGACAGGACUCUGGCCUAUCGUGUUGGUCUAUAGGACCAGAGUAAUGAUUAAGAGGGACAGUCGGGGGCAUUCGUAUUCCGUUGUCAGAGGUGAAAUUCUUGGAUUUACGGAAGACGAACAUCUGCGAAAGCAUUUGCCAAGGAUGUUUUCAUUGA
rnacentral:rRNA from 1 species